UACGUAGGGGGCGAGCGUUGUCCGGAAUUAUUGGGUGUAAAGCGCGCGCAGGCGGGUCCUUAAGUCUGAUGUGAAAUCUCGGGGCUCAACCCCGGGCGGUCAUUGGAAACUGGGAAACUUGAGUAAAGAAGAGGAGAGUGGAAUUCCACGUGUAGCGGUGAAAUGCGUAGAUAUGUGGAGGAACACCAGUGGCGAAGGCGACUCUCUGGUCUGUAACUGACGCUGAGGCGCGAAAGCGUGGGGAGCGAACAGG
rnacentral:misc_RNA from 1 species